AACGAACGCUGGCGGCAUGCCUAACACAUGCAAGUCGAACGAGACCUUCGGGUCUAGUGGCGCACGGGUGCGUAACGCGUGGGAAUCUGCCCUCUGGUACGGAAUAACUCAGGGAAACUUGAGCUAAUACCGUAUAAUGACUUCGGUCCAAAGAUUUAUCGCCUGAGGAUGAGCCCGCGUCGGAUUAGCUAGUUGGUGAGGUAAAAGCUCACCAAGGCGACGAUCCGUAGCUGGUCUGAGAGGAUGAUCAGCCACACUGGGACUGAGACACGGCCCAGACGCCUACGGGAGGCAGCAGUGGGGAAUAUUGGACAAUGGGCGAAAGCCUGAUCCAGCAAUGCCGCGUGAGUGAUGAAGGCCCUAGGGUUGUAAAGCUCUUUUACCCGGGAUGAUAAUGACAGUACCGGGAGAAUAAGCCCCGGCUAACUCCGUGCCAGCCGCCGCUGUAAAAC
rnacentral:rRNA from 1 species